rnacentral:rRNA from 1 species
CGGACAGGUGAGUAACACGUGGAUAACCUACCUAUAAGACUGGGAUAACUUCGGGAAACCGGAGCUAAUACCGGAUAAUAUAUUGAACCGCAUGGUUCAAUAGUGAAAGACGGUUUUGCUGUCACUUAUAGAUGGAUCCGCGCCGCAUUAGCUAGUUGGUAAGGUAACGGCUUACCAAGGCAACGAUGCGUAGCCGACCUGAGAGGGUGAUCGGCCACACUGGAACUGAGACACGGUCCAGACUCCUACGGGAGGCAGCAGAG